ACACAUGCAAGUCGAACGGUAACAGGAUUAGCUUGCUAAUCGCUGACGAGUGGCGGACGGGUGAGUAAUGCUUGGGAACUUGCCUUUGCGAGGGGGAUAACAGUUGGAAACGACUGCUAAUACCGCAUAAUGUCUUCGGGACCAAACGGGGCUUAGGCUCCGGCGCAGAGAGAGGCCCAAGUGAGAUUAGCUAGUUGGUAAGGUAAAGGCUUACCAAGGCGACGAUCUCUAGCUGUUCUGAGAGGAAGAUCAGCCACACUGGGACUGAGACACGGCCCAGACUCCUACGGGAGGCAGCAGUGGGGAAUAUUGCACAAUGGGGGAAACCCUGAUGCAGCCAUGCCGCGUGUGUGAAGAAGGCCUUCGGGUUGUAAAGCACUUUCAGUUGUGAGGAAAAGUUAGUAGUUAAUACCUGCUAGCCGUGACGUUAACAACAGAAGAAGCACCGGCUAACUCCGUGCCAGCAGCCGCGGUAAUACGGAGGGUGCGAGCGUUAAUCGGAAUUACUGGGCGUAAAGCGCACGCAGGCGGUUUGUUAAGCUAGAUGUGAAAGCCCCGGGCUCAACCUGGGAUGGUCAUUUAGAACUGGCAGACUA
rnacentral:rRNA from 1 species